AACGAACGCUGGCGGCAGGCUUAACACAUGCAAGUCGAACGCAUCCUUCGGGGUGAGUGGCGGAUGGGUGAGUAACGCGUGGGAACGUGCCCUUCAGUUCGGGAUAACCCAGGGAAACUUGGGCUAAUACCGGAUACGUGCGAGAGCAGAAAGAUUUAUCGCUGAAGGACGGGCCCGCGCCUGAUUAGCUAGUUGGUGGGGUAAUGGCCAACCAAGGAGACGAUCAGUAGCUGGUCUGAGAGGAUGAUCAGCGACAUUGGGACUGAGACACGGCCCAAACUCCUACGGGAGGCAGCAGUGGGGAAUAUUGGACAAUGGGCGCAAGCCUGAUCCAGCCAUGCCGCGUGAGUGAUGAAGGCCUUAGGGUUGUAAAGCUCUUUCGUCCGGGACGAUAAUGACGGUACCGGAAGAAGAAGCCCCGGCUAACUUCGUGCCAGCAGCCGCAGUAA
rnacentral:rRNA from 1 species